GCAGUGUUGGCUCAGUGGUAGAAUUCUUGCCUUCUAUGCUGGCGAUGUGGGUUCGAUUCCCAGCAUAAUGCA
rnacentral:tRNA from 1 species